AGUGAACGCUGGCGGUAGGCCUAACACAUGCAAGUCGAACGGCAGCACAGUAAGAGCUUGCUCUUACGGGUGGCGAGUGGCGGACGGGUGAGGAAUACAUCGGAAUCUACUUUUUCGUGGGGGAUAACGUAGGGAAACUUACGCUAAUACCGCAUACGACCUACGGGUGAAAGCAGGGGAUCUUCGGACCUUGCGCGAUUGAAUGAGCCGAUGUCGGAUUAGCUAGUUGGCGGGGUAAAGGCCCACCAAGGCGACGAUCCGUAGCUGGUCUGAGAGGAUGAUCAGCCACACUGGAACUGAAACACGGUCCAGACUCCUACGGGAGGCAGCAGUGGGGAAUAUUGGACAAUGGGCGCAAGCCUGAUACAGCCAUACCGCGUGGGUGAAGAAGGCCUUCGGGUUGUAAAGCCCUUUUGUUGGGAAAGAAAAGCAGCAGGUUAAUACCCCGCUGUUCUGACGGUACCCAAAGAAUAAGCACCGGCUAACUUCGUG
rnacentral:rRNA from 1 species